rnacentral:lncRNA from 1 species
GGUUAGGUGAGCAGGGGCAAGGGGUCCGACCGCCAGUGGAUUCAGAGUCAUCGAGGUGCUUGCCAAGAUCCUGACGCCAUGCUCUUUAGCCCUCAUGGUGGCGGUGGAUGCUGAUGUGUGGGAUAUUCUUUCCACGAGCGUAGCUGAUCUUACUGAGGUUUUCCGACCUUACUAUGGAAGCUCCAGUUGGCUCUGACAGCCCAGAGAACCUUGACGGUGAUGGAGUUGCCGAGACAG